AGCUUUGCACAAUGGCAGUAUCAUAGCCAGUGAGGUUUAUCUGAGGCGUGAUUAUUGCUAAUUGAAAUAUAAAAUAGAAUAGCUUAGCUCUUACUAUGUUUGACAAUUUGUACUUUUUCUUCUUAUAUGUUAAGA
rfam:Canis lupus familiaris chromosome 2, whole genome shotgun sequence.